GGGCGGACCUGAUCCAGCCAUGCCGCGUGUGUGAAGAAGGCCUUAUGGUUGUAAAGCACUUUAAGCGAGGAGGAGGCUCUUUUAGUUAAUACCUAGAAAUAGUGGACGUUACUCGCAGAAUAAGCACCGGCUAACUCUGUGCCAGCAGCCGCGGUAAUAC
rnacentral:rRNA from 1 species